ACCUAUAAAAGCUCCGCAAUUCACAAGUGUUGCAUAAACGAUACGCCAGGGGGUCGAGCAGCAGAGAAUCGCGAGAAACAAUGCCAGCUCUCGGAGGGGAAAGCAGCCAAGCAAUUUCAUGAAUGUCUUUGCUAGAGAGCAAGGAUAGCUGUUCGUCGCGUUGAGUCACUGGUCAUAAAUCCUACAGCGUCACCGACGGAAAUACUCGCGGGGAAAGUCAUGGGAAAGACACACAAAGAAUCUUUCAGAAAAAUGUUGGAACGCGAGGGAAGCCAAGUAAGGAUCUCGCUAAAAAGGUUUAACAGCGAUGAAAAGACCGCUUUUCGCAUGGCCAUCUCGGAGCUCGUUUCCCGAAUGCUGGAACACCGUCAGGGCCCAACGUCAGGGAACAAAGGAGACAACUGGGUGUUCGACCAUUCUGUCACCUUCACCCAAAAACCCAGGUAGCUGCGAUCCUUCGGACCAAGUGCUCUUUUGUCAAGGAUCAACGAUCAAUGAGAUACAGAAAAGAUCAUCGAUUAGUAAAUAAGAUCAGAUAAUUUAGACGGAAUUGAGGGAGCACGUCCUUGUGUACCAGUAGCAACGCAUUUAAGACGAGGCGAAAGAUCGUCAGAAGGAGACAUUAUUCCCGUCUGAGUGGGUAUGUGGAGCGUAAGAGGUCAACAGAGAAACCAUUGUUGUCUGCUGGCAAGAUUCAGAACUGGAAGGCGUUUCAAGACUGUAAAGGCUAUUUUCCCACUUUAGAUGUCUACUCGGGGUAUAAUAAAAAAAAUAUUGAGGUUUAAGAGAAA